rnacentral:lncRNA from 1 species
CAGUGUUUUCCCUGGCUGGGCUCUGCCUCCUGGCCUGGGACUGAGAGAGAAAGUGCUAAUGAGAUUAGGCUCCGAAGUCUCCAUCUUACCACAAUCCCUCCCCACCUGUACUCACUGCCCACCCCCACCGCCAGCCUGACUCAGACAUUUCUGUUUUAGCUUCCCACACACAGGCCAGGGCUGCCUCGCCUGUCUGUGCGUCAUGGAGAAUUCAGCAGUGGUGACCCCAACAUCAGAGCUCCCCAGCUUCUGGGACGUUCAGAGCCCUCAGCCUACAGCCUGGGAGGCCUCGUGCCCAGACGCCACGCACCCUCCGGUGACCAGCAGCCACCUGUCCAUCCCCCAAGACCAGAAAGGCAGCAGCAGCCCCCGGGAGCCCAGGACUGUCCUCGGUGCAUCCAGCUGCAGAAGGAAAUUGAGG